UGAGAAACUCCCAGAAAUAUGGGAUGAAAUGGUGCCGGAGAGAAGCAAAAGGGUGGCCAGCGGCAUCGUCUCAGGCAGAUGCGGCAGCCUCCGUCUCUGCUUUCUUGGGUACUUCUUGACAGUCACGAACGCAAAACAAUCGACUUCUUUUAAGUUUCUUGAAUUACUGGUUCUUGCAUUAUGAACUUAAGACGAAUAUCUUGGUUCAAGGGUUCUUGAGAUUCAAAAUCAAGAUUCGCCAGAGAUAAUUCAACCAAAUGAUUUUUGGUAUUCUUGUCCAGGGCUUGCAAGAAAUAAGUGAAAGAGGGGGAAGAUCCAUGAGUACUUUUCUUCUCAGUGCACAGGUACAUGAAAAUUUUAAAUUGAGGCUGUUGAAGUAUAAAUGAGGCAAUGAAAUAUAGAGAAACAAGAAAUCAUUUCCCAGAAAAGAAGGGCACUACAUGCCUAGAGCAUAUUAUUGAUUGAUUAUAUCAUGUUCAUGGUCUUACACAAUCUAGACAGCUACUUCAAGCUAAUGGAAAGCCAUGCAGUGAGUGAUAUCUUCACUCUGGAAGUUUGAAGUUUGAACGCAAACUCAUGUGUCUUCUUUAGGAGCAAACCGGUUUCCAUGUCGUCUUGGGUUCAUGUGAUUCUGAGUAUGAGCUUCGUGACUCGUGGGUUCUCUGAGACAUCGGCUGUCAUCUAAUGUAAAUACAAGUGUUCCUACUGUAAAUGAGAAUGCUUUGUUUGUCGUACUUUUGCGUCUAUGUAUUAUGUGAAGGAACGUUGCUUCCAAUUUUCAGCCCAACGAAUAAGA